AGGAUAUCUCGUUUCCGCAGACCAGGCCAUGGAAACCAUAUAAAAAGACUCGCAUCACAAUGCUCCACAAACGACUCAACGUCUUCAUUAGCUCCUGUAGGUGAAUUGGUUUUGCCCUCGUCCCAGGAAGAUGGCUUACCAGCAGCAAUGCAAACAGACCUGCCUGCCUCCUCCAUGCUGUGUGACCAAGUGCACUACCAAAUGCCUGGAUCCCUGCUGCAAAGUCUGUGUGACCAAGUGUGUGACAAAAUGCGUAGAUCCCUGCUGUAAAGUCUGCGUGAAGAAGUGCACUAAAUGCGUGCAUCCAUGCCCGUGCCCGUGCCCUCAAAAGUGUAUUCCAUGUCCUCCGUGCCCUCAAAAGUGUCCUCCAUGCCCUCCAUGUCCUCCGUGCCCUCAAAAGUGUCCUCCGUGCCCUCCAUGUCCUCCGUGCCCUCAAAAGUGUCCUCCGUGCCUUCCGUGCCCUCAAAAGUGUCCUCCGUGCCCUCCAUGUCCUCCAUGCCUUCCAAAAUGCCCACCUGUGCAGCACUGUUGCAAAGAAAAGAAGCUCUGUUAGUGCCCACGGAACCACCCGACGUCUACGGAAUGAAAAUGAAUUACAGCCCCUCGCGCAGUAGCUCUCUCCUCACUCUGCUGGUCGGGCAUUCCCCUUGCAGUGUGACGUGUAACACUUGUGAUGUAGACUCUUUAGUGCUUGUGAUUUUCCCCCUCUGGUCUCUUUUCUCAUCCCGUCCUUUCAUGUAGAUGUGCCAUAAUAAAAGCUACAAUUCAUGACA